rnacentral:lncRNA from 1 species
CAUGUUUUUAGAAAUGUUUACAAAUGUAUUGAAAAUGAAAUACAGAAAUAUUGCAUUUACAUAAGUAUUCCCACCCCCUUGCUAUGACACUCUAAAUUGAGCUCAGGUGCAUUCCUUUGAUCAUCCUUGAGAUGUCACUCCAACUUAAUUGGAGUCCACCUAUGGCCAAUUCAAAAGUUUGGACAUGAUUUAGAAAGGUCCCACAGUUGACAGUGCAUGUCAGAGCAGAAACUAUACCAUGAAGUCCAAGGAACCGUAGAUCUCCGAGAUAGAACUGUGAUGAGGCAUAUAUCUGGGGAAGGGUAUAAAACUAUUUCUAGAGUGUUGAAAGUUUCCAAGAACACAGUGGUCUCUAUUAUUGGCAAAUCAAAAACAUAUGGUACUACCCAGACUCUGCCUAGAGCUGUCUGUCCAACCAAACUGAACAACUGGGCAAGAAGGACAUUGAUCAGGGAGUUGACCAAGAACCCAAUGACCGCACUGACAGAGUUCCUUGGCUGAGAUGGGAGAACCUGCCAAAAGGACACCAGUCUCUACAGCACUUCGGAAAUCUGGGCUUUAUGGGAGAGUGGCCAGACAGAAGCCACUCCUGAGAAAAAGGCACAAAAAGGCACGUGUUGCAAAAAGGCACGUGAAAGACUCUGAGAGCAUGGGGAUGCUUUUCAGCAUCAAGGACUUGGAGACUGGUAAGGAUAGAGGGAACAAUGAAUGGAGUCAAAUACAGGCAAAUUCUUGAUGAGAACCUGCUUCAAAGUGCAAACAACCUUAGACUGGGGGCAUAGAUUUACAUUCCAACAGGACAAUGACCCCAAGCAUACAUCCAAAGCAAUGCUGGAAUGGCUUCGGAACAAGAAUGUGAAAGUCCUUGAGUGGCCCAGCCAAUGCACAGACUUAAAUCCCAUUGAACAUUUGUGGAAAGACUUGAAGAUUGCUUUUCACCGCCACUCUCCAUCUAACUUAACUUGACAAAGCUUCGGAAAAUCUGCAAGGAAGAAUGGAAGAAAAUUCCCAAUUCCAGAUGUGCAAAUCUAAUACAGAUAUACCCAAAACGACUCAUCGCUUUACUCGCCGUCAAAGGUGCUUCUACAAAGUAUUGACUCAGGGGUGUGAAUACUUAUGUAAAUGAGACAUUUCUGUGUUUGAUUUUCAAUAAAUUUGCCAACAUUCCUAAAAACAUGUUUUCACUUCAUCAUUGUGGAGUAUUGUGUGUGGAUGGGUGAGAAAAAAAGUUAAUUUUUAUCCAUUUUGAAUUUAGGCUGUAACACAACAAAAUGUGCAAUAAGUCUGAAUACUUUCUGAAGGCACUGCGUAGUGCAGACAUCUUCACCUCACUGUGCAACAAACAUCACCACACAUAGCUUCAAUCAGACCAACUUGCUUUAACACGAUACUGCUUCUCUUACUGUUGUGCAUUCAGACAGAUGUGGAAACCUUUGAUAUGCUUUUCAUGCAGACAACAAUUUUAUACAUGCAUGCAGACGUUCCUGUUCUGACAGUAAAUAGUGUGAUUGUAUAGUGGCUGUGUAGUGGUAGCAAUAAGAAAUGAAGAAAGUGAGAUUGAUGAAUAAUGGUUGUAGAUUAAAUGCAGUGAAAGCUGCAGCUCCAGAUAGCACGAUUUAGGGUAACUUGACUAUAGGUUGAUUAAUUGUGUUAUUAUUAAGUAAUAAAGGGUAAAGCAUCGUGAGUUGGGUUGUGGGCUAGAAUAUGAAUGUGGGGUAGGAAUAGGGAAAGCAAUGCAAUGGUGUGUGUUGGGUGGAACAAUGUAUGGCUGUUUCACAAAACGUUGAUGUUGCAUGAAAAAUAAGGAAUAGUGAUGGAAAUAGUACGGUAAUGAUUUUGAUUGAUUGUUAUGGAAGAAUGAGUCAGUAAUGGUAUGAGUAGUUAGGAGGAGAUCAUUGUGCUGUUUGGUACUUGGUGGUGGCAUGUUUAGCCACUGCCACUGCUCGUGUGUGAAAGCUUACUCAGAACCCCAGCAGAGUCCCAAUACCAGUCCAAACUGCAAUGCAGUGACGUGAUGUUCUUGACUUUCUCCCUUUCUCAUAGUUCUACAUACAUUCAGGCUGUCCGUAUUAUACUGCUCCCUACGCAUAAGACACACUUCGUCCUCCCUCUCCUUAUCUGAGAAAGAAUACUUUUUUACAGAGUUUAAGCAGUAAAAAUCCAGGAGCAGAUAGCCUAUAAAUCUGGCCGUAAAAGCGUUGAGUUGUCAGUGGGGCCAUCAGCUAUCAAUCAUGCAUCGGGGCAGGCUGAUGAAAGGGAAAUGGGUGAUAAAAACCCCCCAGCAUUUUAGGGAAAUUAUGUCCAGUCUUCCAUUUGCAAAGUGCUGCAGUUGCAUCAGGGCAGAAUCUUAAUCAUUGGUUAGCUGGUGAGGGUAGUGAUGGUGUUGAUGGUGGUGAAGGUGGUGAGGGUAGUUAGGCUGGUGAGGGUAGUUAGGCUGGUGAAGCUGGUGAGGGUAGUUAGGCUGGCGAGGGUAGUUAGGCUGGUGAGGCUGGUGAGGGUAGUUAGGCUGGUGAGGGUAGUUAAGCUGGUGAGGGUAGUUAGGCUGGUGAGGCUGGUGAGGGUAGUUAGGCUGGUGAGGGUAGUUAGGCUGGUGAGGGUAGUUAGGCUAGUGAGGGUAGUUAGGCUGUUGAGGGUAGUUAGGCUGGUGAGGGUAGUUAGGCUGGUGGGGGUAGUUAGGCUGGUGAAGCUGGUGAGGGUAGUUAGGCUGGUGAGGCUGGUGAGGGUAGUUAGGCUGGUGAGGGUAGUUAGGCUAGUGAGGGUAAUUAGGCUGUUGAGGGUAGUUAGGCUGGUGAGGGUAGUUAGGCUGUUGAGGGUAGUUAGGCUGGUGAGGGUAGUUAGGCUGGUGAGGGUGGGAGGCUGGUGAGAGUAGUUCGGCUGGUGUGGGUGGUGACGGUAGAAGAUGAGCAGGUCUGUCUUGGUGUGAGAGAGGAAGAGGAGAAUGAGUGAGAGACACCCUGGUUGGUGAGGUGGGUGGCUGAGGAGGUUAGGAGAGAAAGGAGAGAUAGGGAGAGAAAGAGAGAGAGAGAAAGGGAGAGAGAGAGAGGAGCAAGGGCGAGAGGGGAGUGGAAUUUUAUGAGAUUAUACGACUAGCAUAAAUCACUUCUACACUCCCGUUUUUCUCUCCUUCAUUCAUUCACUUCCCCCUCUCUCUCUCUCUCUGUGUGUCCUCCCUAUCUCUUCUCUCUAUCUCUCUCUCUUCAUUUGCUCUCUCCGUGAAUAUUCCUCAUCCUUCCCAACUUUUAUUUGUAUCUCCUCCUCCUCACUUUAUGUGAUGCACCCCUACUUCUUCUCCUCACAAUCCCUCUCUCUCUCUAUCCCCCUCU